CAAAAUAUCUUCUUGGGGUCAGGAUGGUCUCUGAAAUCUGGGGCAAGUAUAAACCUUCAGGAGCUCAUAGUGGCAACUGUUAUGAAGACUGUUUGGCUGG
rnacentral:miRNA from 1 species